rnacentral:rRNA from 1 species
UACGUAGGGUGCAAGCGUUGUCCGGAAUUAUUGGGCGUAAAGAGCUCGUAGGCGGUUUGUCGCGUCGAAUGUGAAAUCCCGGGGCUCAACCCCGGAACUGCAUUCGAUACGGGCAGACUAGAGUUCGGUAGGGGAGUCUGGAAUUCCUGGUGUAGCGGUGAAAUGCGCAGAUAUCAGGAGGAACACCGGUGGCGAAGGCGGGACUCUGGGCCGAUACUGACGCUGAGGAGCGAAAGCCUGGGGAGCAAACAGG